rnacentral:rRNA from 1 species
GGAGCGAAAUUUAGUAGCGAAGCGUCUGAUGUCACACUGCCGAGAAAAGCUUCUAGUGAGUACUUAACUACCCGUACCGCAAACCGACACAGGUAGUCGAGGAGAGAAUCCUAAGGUGAGCGAGUGAACUCUCGUUAAGGAACUCGGCAAAAUGACCCCGUAACUUCGGGAGAAGGGGUGCUGAUCGCAAGAUCAGCCGCAGUGAAUAGGCCCAGGCGACUGUUUAUCAAAAACACAGGUCUCUGCAAAAUCGUAAGAUGACGUAUAGGGGCUGACGCCUGCCCGGUGCUGGAAGGUUAAAAGGAUGGGUUAGCUUCGGCGAAGCUCAGAAUUGAAGCCCCAGUAAACGGCGGCCGUAACUAUAACGGUCCUAAGGUAGCGAAAUUCCUUGUCGGGUAAGUUCCGACCCGCACGAAAGGCGUAACGAUCUGGGCACUGUCUCAACGAGAGACUCGGUGAAAUUAUAUUGUCCGUGAAGAUGCGGACUACCCGCGACAGGACGGAAAGACCCCAUGGAGCUUUACUGUAGCUUGAUAUUGAGUGUUUGUACAGCUUGUACAGGAUAGGUAGGAGCCAUAGAAACCGGAACGCUAGUUUCGGUGGAGGCGUUGGUGGGAUACUACCCUCGCUGUAUGACCACUCUAACCCGCACCACUAAUCGUGGUGGGAGACAGUGUCAGGUGGGCAGUUUGACUGGGGCGGUCGCCUCCUAAAAAGUAACGGAGGCGCCCAAAGGUUCCCUCAGAAUGGUUGGAAAUCAUUCGCAGAGUGUAAAGGCACAAGGGAGCUUGACUGCGAGACAGACAGGUCGAGCAGGGACGAAAGUCGGGCUUAGUGAUCCGGUGGUACCGUAUGGAAGGGCCAUCGCUCAACGGAUAAAAGCUACCCUGGGGAUAACAGGCUUAUCUCCCCCAAGAGUCCACAUCGACGGGGAGGUUUGGCACCUCGAUGUCGGCUCAUCGCAUCCUGGGGCUGUAGUCGGUCCCAAGGGUUGGGCUGUUCGCCCAUUAAAGCGGUACGCGAGCUGGGUUCAGAACGUCGUGAGACAGUUCGGUCCCUAUCCGUCGCGGGCGUAGGAAAUUUGAGAGGACCUGUCCUUAGUACGAGAGGACCGGGAUGGACAUACCUCUGGUGUACCAGUUGUGCCGCCAGGCGCAUCGCUGGGUAGCUACGUAUGGAUGUGAUAAACGCUGAAAGCAUCUAAGUGUGAAACACACCUCGAGAUGAGAUUUCCCAUUCCUUUAUGGAAGUAAGACCCCUGAAAGAUGAUCAGGUAGAUAGGUUAGAAGUGGCAGUGCGGUGACGCAUGAAGCGGACUAAUACUAAUCGGUCGAGGACUUAACCAA